AUGACUUUGGAGGAACAACGUCAUAAGGAGUUGAAAGAGGACCAUAUGAGCCUACAUACAAUGCAUGUGUUGAAGACAUCUUGGACGAUUGAAAAGCAUGGCAAUGAGGUAUUCACGCAUGAGCUAUUUGAGGGUUUUCAGAAUGAGUUGCUUGCUGAUAGGGAUCAUUGCCUUGUUGAGAUGAUGUCACAUGAUGGUGAGGUUAAAACAACAACUGUACGUGAUGGUUAUAAGAAACUAAGGUUAGUAACUUACAAAACAACAACCAUGGUGGGUUCUUACACAUGUAAGUUAUUUGAGACACAUCGUGUCGUAAUCUUAUCCAUGUCUUAA
rnacentral:rRNA from 1 species